CCCAGGCGGCCUCAGCGCUGUCCCGGCCGGGGCGGAGCCGGGGCCGCCGCAUGCUCAGAGCCCGAGCGGCCUCAGAGCCCCGGUGAAUUUCAUCAGCCCCGUGUGGAGAGCAGCGCUUGGCACAGUGCACUCUUGAGGCCGGCAUGGAUCGAUGCCUUAUCUCCUGUCUCCAAGGAAACUGUCAGAGUUCGCCUCUUCCCUCCAUGAAAACGUUUGGAGAGAUUCUUGCAGCCCCAAUGUGAAAACAGAUCUCACAGCUGCCAGGUUGUCCAUAAAACCCUCGCUCAUGAGCAGUCCAGGCCCUGUUCCCAAAGAGGCACCAUCACAAGUCUCCUGUAGCUCCAGGCAGGCCCAUGAUGACAGGGUGUGCAGCAAAAUUCUGCUUACAGCUGCUUUAGGAAGCUUAAUUCCCAUUCUGCAACAGGUUUUGCUGGAAUCUGGGGUGAUAUGUUGGUGGAUCAAAAACUCAGCUGUCCAUACACUAAGCUUCCUGUUAGUGAUGCAGAUGAACAGAAGCCAAGGCAUGGGUAGGAAGGGCUCCUGUACAUAACCUGUAUCCUGGAAGCUGGUUCCCUUUAAAACUCAGUGGCCAAAGUCCCACUGAUUUAAGUAACCUACAGCAGGUUUACUGCUCUGGUCAGUGAUGCAUUCGUGUUUAUGGCUCUUAUGGUAUGUUUGGUGGAGUCACUCCCUUCAGCGGCAUAACAGAACAGGCUGUUCACAGAAGUGGGACAAACAAGGUUGGGAGCCCAGGAAAAAAAUCCUCUCUAAACAAUUUUGUUUAGUCACAGAGGCAAGAGUGAAGGUGCAACAGCAGCAGCAGUGACAGAGUGACAGCACCUUUCACUGCCAACAAAAUCAGACCUUUGACUCCUGAGCCAUAGGAAAACUCUUAGUCAUAAGAAAACAGAAAGUUAAAAGUCCCUCAAAUCAAACUAGUGAGGGUGAACAGAAAAAAAAGCAACAAGAGUAAUAGCUUUAUUAUUGAACUCCUAAUUAUAACUGCAUUGAAAGGCCUAUAUAUAAUUUAGAUCUAUGCUGCAAUUGCUUUCACAAUCCAAACUGAAACAGGAACCUCAAUAAAUCUCAUCUAUUUCAAAGUUUAGGUAAAAGCCCCAUCAAAAAGAUGAAGCAGAAUAAUACUACAAAUGCCUGUUGUGGCAUGGACCUGUUUGCAAUAUAGAUACUUCUUCCACAGGUAUGUGUUUGACAACAUCUUAUGCAAAGGUGUCUUUCAUACCUGUAAAAAAUGAACAAAAAGUAGGGAUUUGGCUGUACUGACUUAGGAGAACUAAGAUGCUUUUAUAUAUACAUAAUAUACACAUAAAUAUAGAUGGAAUCAUAGAACAUCCUGAGUUGGAAAGGACCCACAAGAGCCAUCAGUCCAACUCCUGGCCCAGCACAAGACAAGCCCAAGAAUCCCACCCCGUGCCUGAGAAUGUUUUCCAAAGGCUUCUUGAAUUCUGUCAGCCUUGGUGCUGUGACCACUUCCCUGGGAAGCCUGUCCCAGUGCCCAACCAUCCUCUGGAUGAAGAAUCCUUUCCUAAUAUAAGUAUUUUUAAACAAGAAGAGCCUCAAAAACCCUAAUAUCUCUGUGCAUUAAAUACCAUUAUUCCUUUUACAUACAACCUCUCUGGCAAUCUCUACCAGUGACUCCCGUGUCACAGGACUGCCCUGUUGUAUUCUAUCACACACCAAAGAACUCAGGACACCUCGCCCACCUUGGCAGGAGCAGCGGGUGGCUGAGGUCAUUGCCCUGUAUUUGUACCCUCCUGCUGAUGGAUCGAACUCUAACACAACAAAAGAUCGAUCUCGGCCGCUGCGGGCACCACACAGUGACACGGGGGCUGCUUGCGGUGUAGCCACACCCCCUAGAACUACAAGUGUGUGGACACCUAAAAAAAAAAAAAAUCCUUUGCAUCUAAACAGACCAGAGUUAAUAUUUUUCAAACCCAUUGAUAAGCAUCACUGAAAUACAGACUGAAUCUCAUGAACCCAGGAAAAGAAACAAGGGAGAAAUUUUCUUUGUUAAGGAAACUGAUGGUGGCAUUAAUCAUUGUAUUAAAAUGGAUGGCAUUUAAGA